rnacentral:sRNA from 1 species
GACGAGGGAUGUUAUUUUGGGCAGUGCAUCUGGACUUGGUUCAAGUGGCACCAGCCAAAUCCCUGCCUUACUGACCUCUCCCCUGGAGGAGCAGAAGCAGUGCUCGAGGCCGCCCUGGGAGGGCUGAGAGGCAGGCUCUGGACUGGGGACACAGGGAUAGCUGAGCCCCAGCUGGGGGUGGAAGCUGAGCCAGGGACAGUCACGGAGGAACAAGAUCAAGAUGUGCUUUAACUGAGAAGCCCCCAAGGCAGAGGCUGAGAAUCAGAAGAUAUUUCAGCAGACAUCUACAAAUCUGAAAGACAAAACAUGGUUCAAGCAUCCAGGCACAGGCGGUAAGUAUCCCACCCUCUUCUCACCCUCCAGCCCCCUGUGCUCCACCCAGCCCAUUUCAGUGCCCUCCCUGCUCCAUCCUCAGCCUCUCCCUUGGGGCAGCUCUCCCCCCUCGACCUCCUCCCCACCCACCCACUCUCCUGAGGUCCCAGAAGAAGAGCAUCUUCCACCUGUUGCCUGGGCUGGGUCCUGGGGUGAGGGGAGGCUCAGAAAUACUCGGAUGAGGGUCAAG